rnacentral:misc_RNA from 1 species
GAUGAAGAACGUAGCGAAAUGCGAUAAGUAGUGUGAAUUGCAGAAUUCAGUGAAUCAUCGAAUCUUUGAACGCACAUUGCGCCUUCUAGUAUUCUGGGAGGCAUGCCUGUUUGAGCGUCAUUAAACCUCUCUCAAGUAUGAUUACUUGGAUGUGAAGGAAGAGUACCUUAAACUUAAGGAGUGUUCUCCUUUGAAAUUGAUUAGCAGAUGGUAAUGUUAUUAAAUCCCUGAUGUUGUAAGAAAUAACAGUGGUUUUGUAGACUAUUAUCUAGCUUUAAAUUAUAAUUUUUAUUAUGGUUGACCUCAAAUCAGGUAAGGAUACCCGCUGAGCUUAAGCAUAUCAAUAAGCGGAGGA